AGUGAACGCUGGCGGCGUGCCUAACACAUGCAAGUCGAACGGGCUAGUGCUUCGCACUAGUCUCUUUCUGGGGUUGUUACUCUAAGGCUACCUGCUAAGGUUAUUGCUUUAAAGCAGGGGUUUUAGGAGACUUUCCCCGAAAGGGGCCAGUGCGGAGCACUGGCCAGUGGCGAACGGGUGAGUAACACGUGGGUAAUCUACCCUCGAGUGGGGAAUAAGCUUCCGAAAGGGGGUCUAAUGCCGCAUAACGUUUCAUAACGAUGGUUAUGAACCAAAGCCCAAAAGGCGCUCGAGGAGGAGCCUGCGUCCUAUCAGCUUGUUGGCAGGGUAAUGGCCUACCAAGGCUAUGACGGGUAGCCGGCCUGAGAGGGUGUCCGGCCACACUGGAACUGAGACACGGUCCAGACUCCUACGGGAGGCAGCAGUGGGAAUUUUGCGCAAUGGGGGAAACCCUGACGCAGCGACGCCGCGUGGAGGAUGACGGCCUCGGUUGUAACUACCUGUCAGAAGGACGAAA
rnacentral:rRNA from 1 species